rnacentral:rRNA from 1 species
CAAUAGCGUAUAUUAAAGUUGUUGCAGUUAAAAAACUCGUAGUUGGAUUUGUGGUUCGUCCCGCCGGCUGGGUCAUUGACUUUUGCUGUGCUGGUCGUCCAUCCUUGGGUGGAAUCUGUGUGGCAUUAGGUUGUCGCGCAGGGGAUGCCCAUCGUUUACUGUGAAAAAAUUAGAGUGUUCAAAGCAGGCUUAUGCCGUUGAAUAUAUUAGCAUGGAAUAAUGAUAUAGGACCUUGGUACUAUUUUGUUGGUUUGCGCACUGAGGUAAUGAUUAAUAGGGACAGUUGGGGGUAUUCGUAUUCCAUUGUAAGAGGUGAAAUUCUUGGAUUUUUGGAAGACGAACUACUGCGAAAGCAUUUACCAAGGAUGUUNUCAUUNA